UAAUAUGUGUAGCUUUUCGAUUUCUUUCUCAGCACCACAUCCUUCCCAUCUUCAAUCCCAAUAUCUCCUACAUCGUUUUUCCAUGGAUUCCAUAGCAUUGUUCUCAGUUCUCACUCUUUCCCUAUUGUAGCCUCACUCUCCCUAUUGUAGCCUCUGGAAUCACAUGAGUUUCCUUUGUUUGUCACUCGAUUUUCUAUCGUUUGUUAGCUUAAUAUAUUAGUUUCAACAUGUGGAAACUCGAAAGGGAGAUUUUGAGGUUUUGGAUGAUCGACUUCCAAUCCUCAAUUUAGGAUCCAUUUAAGGUAAUCAAGCAGUUCAAUCGUUAGUUUUCUCCUCUGUUUCAUUACUUUUAUUGGUUCAUUUUUACCUGUAACUAUAGUCUAUAUUAAUUGGGGUUUUGCAAUUUGGCCUAUUUUAUAUUGAAUCAGUUUUGAUAGUAUUUGUCAAUUUGUGAUUUUAAUAAUUGAAGCGUAAUUUCUAGGUUCUUUUACGUGAUGAAUCCAAGGACUAGGGCUAACUAAUUGAUUUGCUCUCUGCUAUUUGGAACAGACCUAAUUGAUCCAUCAUUGUGCAGAUGAGCACGCAGUCAUGCAGUAAGUUCAUCUUAAGUAAAAAAAUGGAACUGUUUGCAGGGGUUUCUGCUUUGUAUAUUUUACAGACACUCAUCAGAUUCUAAUUUUGGGAAUUGGUUAAAAAGAUUUAGUUAUUAAUCUAUAGUCCUCUAUUAAACUUUAUGUGAUCUUAGAUUUUGGUGGUAUCAAGCUAUUUGAAAGAGACUACUAUGUUAGGACCUCAAAUCAACUUCUUAAUGUAUAUAUGUUGAGUAGAUCUUGCAAAAGAUUAACCAGAAAUAUUUUCCCUGCACAAAAAAUGAAUUAGAAUCAUGAAUCAUCUUCAAUGUUUGCAUAACUGCUAAUUGGUAUUAGAGAUGAUCAAGAAUUAGUUGUUCUUUCGCAUUGCUACCAAAAUGAAAAGGUUGUUUGCACAUGCAUUUUAGCAGCAAUGGAACGGCUAAGACUUCAGCUUGGUUUUUUUUAAUUAUGGGAAAGUUGUUGACAAUCAAGGGGUUAGAUCUGUUGAGCUUUGUUUUUGUUGAUUAUGGCCAAGUGUUGAUGGGCUAGAUACGAUACAUAUUUAAGGAGGAAAUGAUAUGCGAUUAUUUUGAGAACUCUAUUUAAUCUGAUUUGAAAUAGAUUUGGUUUCAGAUAAUGUGAUUAAUGAUUGAAUAACAAUUCUGCUACUGUGGUAAAAAGAAAUAACAGAAGAUUCCUUUUAAAAGAAAUAGAACAAUAGUUUAAAAAUCCCAUAGGCUGCGUAGUACACCAAAGAAGUAAUAGAAAGGUUUAAAUCAACUCAUAUCUCCAUCAUCAAACUAAGAGAACUGGUACUUAUGCAUAUCACCUCCCUUUUCAAAUAAUAUUAUAAUUAAAACAAGAGAACCAUAUAAGUUGGCCUUUAUAGUAACUAAGAUAGAUACUUGCUAUGUUACCUUCAAAUUUAUUGUUAAUUUUUUAGUAGAAAUUCUCCUAGAACAUGCUUUACAAAGUUGGAUGGCAUAACAGGAAUUGGGCUUGGCCCAAACUCACUGUAACAAUCCGACCGAUCAUUUUCAACUUUUGCACUUUGCUCACCAGUUCUCGGCAUGACUUUGCUCAAGAAGUUGGUUUUUAUUUUUUAGGGUGAUCAGAAUGAAUUUGGAAGAACAGUUCUCAAUUUGAAGUUUGAAAUUUGAAAUUUGAAAGGUUUGACCAAGAUUUGACUUAUUAGUAUAUGAUAUCAGAUUAGAAUUUUUAUGAUCUAGUUAGCUCCGUUAGGUGAUUUGGGACUUAGGAGCGUAAUCGGUGUGAGCAUGUGAUUUUUUGCCUUGCUAAGAUGACUCCUACAGGACCCUCAGGUUUAGGAUUUUCCCUUUUAUAUUUGUUUCCAGGAUUUAAUUUUAGAGUUCAAUUGCAUGUGUCAAGUGUGUGUUCAUUAAUGCAUGUUUAAAAUUGUUUAGGAUUCAAUUUCGUGUUUUGCUAGAAUAAUUGUUAAAUAGGAUUACUUUUACAAAUUAAAAAAAAUGUACAAUUAAUAUUUCUGGCAUCUUUAAUCGUUUUUGUUUAAAUUUCAACUUGUUGCAUUUUUAUUUGUGUUCAAAAAUAUGUGCAAGUAAUAUUUCUGGCAUUUUUAAUCGUUUUUGUUUAAUUUCAACUUUUUGCAUUUUUAUUUGUGUUAGCUAGAAAUUUUUGUUUUAAAUAAAAUAGGGAAUUAAUUAAAACAAAAAGAAAACAAAGCAUAAAUAUAUACACACAGCCACCCAGGUUGGCCACAGUUGGGCCAGACAUGGGUGGCCCAAACAAUUUUACCCUUAAAACCUACCGGUGCCCAGCCCAAAAACCAUUCCCUAACCCAGCCCACCUUUAACCAACCCAAAACGACGCAGUUUCAAGAAGGGCCAUCACAACCGUCGAUCAGCCCACCAUCCAACGGCCAUGAAACUCCCAACAAAACCAUAUAUAUGUCCAAAUGUUCCUAAUACACUCAGAGACCAAACGAGCCUCCUUCCUCGUACAUACACUCCGGUGUAUCACUCACCCUUGACCACCCAUCAACUACCCUAACGCCGCCACCGCAAAUCGCCUCACGGCGGCGGCCUGUCACCAAACCGUCUCAAGUUUACACCAUCGAACCACCACAACCCCCUCUUUCCCGUCAUGUGGCUGGUUUCCGUCGAACAAGUCCCCAGCUUCUCGAAUAUUCAAAAUCAGAUUCGUAGGAACCACCGCCUCCGGCAACCCUGUUCCAAACCACCCAACUUUGGGCCGUAGGACCACCAGGACCUCCUCUUCCCCGUCCUGCAACCCAUUCCCUUCAAACUAUCUCCCAUCGUCUCGAAUCUUCAAAGAAAGACCGCCGGAACACCAUCUCCGGCGACCCAACUCCAAACCCAUCCCAAAUUACACCCCUGAAACAACUCACCCUCCUCUUUCCAACCGUGCAUGUCACACCCUUCGAAUCCGCCUGAAACAUCUCGAAUAUUGAUUUGAAGGUUAACCCUAAAACUCAAACCCUAUCGGGGUCUGGUCAAACUCGUCUUAGGCAAUCCCCGGCCAUUCCCCUCCCCAACCAUGCCACCCACGACCUACCGGAUUCCGGUCAAACUCAUCUCAGACGGUCCCCGGCCAUUCCCCUCCCCAUCCAUGCCACCCACGACCCCCAAAUACCUCUAACCAUCAAAGAAAUUCAGAUCUGAGACCUCACUGGGUCUCAGAAUCAUAAGCGCCCCUUCUUGAACUCCUGAGCCUAUUACCCGCGAAGCCAUUUGCUUUAAAAGGUUAGAAACCUCUAGAAGAGGUCAGAAACCAAAAAAUGAUAUCAAGUCGGAUUUGCAUAUGUAAAAGCUAAGUAUUCUAUCUUUGCCUGUAUAUAUUUGCUUCGUUUCUUUUAAUUAUUAGUUGCUCUGGUUUCUUUUGAAUGAUUAGUUGUUUUUCCAUAAUCUCAUCUGAAAUAGGUUAAAUAGUCAUCUUUACUUACUAUAUUCCUUUGGUUGUUACUGGUCUGAAAUCCCUUCGUCUCUUGAGUGGUCUGAUAUCAUGUUAAUAUUAGCCUCCUGGUUCUUAAAUCCUGGUUUGAUGAUUUUUCAGUAAUGUGACUUUUAUGGUUCGUUGAUCUUCGUCUCCUGAUUUUUCAUUUGUCUCAUGCCUUGAUGCUCUGAUUAGUUUUGGUAGGGGUUUAUCUUCUGGGUCUUGUUUAUGCUACUGAGUAUUUGUUUUCAUCUCAUCGUAACUUUGAUCUUCAGUACUUGCAUGUAUUGGGCUAUCCUAUUCUUGCUGAACCUUUAAUUGCUAAUAUUAGCCUUUACUUUCCUGAUUUGAUUCAUGAACUAAGUGUUCAAUUCUUUCUACGUGUUUCUCAUUCUGAACCUUUAAUUGAUAAUGUUAGCCUUUACUUUUAUGAUUUGAUUCAUGAACUAAGUGUUCAAUUCUUGCUAUGUGUUUCUCAUUCUCAAGUUUUUCUAAGUACUUUAAUUGGGUUAUUUCUUUAAGUUAAGCGUUAAUGGAUGGUUUCCCUCUUCUGGUCAUUUUGAUUCAUUGUUUUUGACAUUAAAUGUUCAUCCGGAUAAUGUUUGGUUGCUGAAAAAUUCAUAUUAGGAUACUAGUCCAAAAACCUGAAUAAUACUGGCUAAUUCUUAAACUUCUAAUAAGCAUGUUAAUCUAGAUCAGACCUUAGCCCAUAACUCAAGCACAAUUGACCAGGGUUAGUGAAUAACUAAGGUUAAAACUUCAUGUUAGUUAAUUAGGAAAAGAAAUAGGGGUAUAAGGGGGAUUCGAGCCUUAAAAGAAUAUGGUAAUAACCCCUAGAACAUUCUAGUGAGGGACCUAGGCACAAUUUUAGUCUCAAACUUGAGGCACAAGUCAGGAAACUGAGGACCAUUCAGGGAAAAGCUAAAAUCUGAAUCAGGGACUAAAAGGAAAAAACAAGGAAAAAGUGGUGCCCUAAGGCUUCACUAUAAAAAAGACAAUCUGAACAUUUUUAGGGUCUUCCUGAUCGGAUCCUUUUUUUAAACUAAGAUUUUUGACCUUUUGGAAUACAUUUUCGAGCCUACUCUUCUUCUGAAGUUUGAGUGAAUUAGGUUAUACACACAAGUUUCCCUUAUAUUCUUCAGAAAUUGUCAGUGCUGUCCUUAAUCCUUUGGAAUAUUGAUUCUCUCAAAACCCUGUUGAAAUCCUAGGUGUACUGUUCGAUGGCUGUUGUCAAUGCUGUCCUUAAUCCUUUGGAAUUUUGAUUCUCUCAAAACCUUGUUGAAAUCUUGGGUGUACUGUUGGAUUGGCUGCUGUUUUGCUUGUUGAUUAAUCUCAUUUACUCAUAGGAUUCUGUUCUUUGCUGAAUUCCAGGUACAUUUCGAUGUUCAUUAAUGUAUGCAGUGUUAGAACGAGUGCUUAACGCUAGAGGGGGGGUGAAUAGCGUUUACAAAAAUUAUGCGGAAUUAAAACUUAUUUGCGGAAUUGAAAUACUGCAGGAAUUAAAUCAGUGCGGAAAUUAAAGAGAGCAAGGAAAGAACACACCGAUGUAUCCUGGUUCGCCAUAACCUUGUGGUUAGUCCAGUCCCCGAGAGACUCUCUCGAGAUUUCCACUAAAUCCUGUCGAGCUUAUGGGUGCUCAACAAACCGUUACACUUGAGACUUGAAUCCAACAAAUCUCA
rnacentral:lncRNA from 1 species